UCCACCUUCUCAUGCUCCUCCAAGGCGGCGGUGAGCACGGCGCCCUGGCGGCCGAACAGGAACACCAGAGGCAGGGUGACGCCCGCGUCCGAGUCCGAGUCCGAGUCGCCCACCAUCUGGAAGAGCGGCGUUUCCUGGCUGCUGCUCCCUGCUCGCUGGUCUGCAGGGGAAGAAGCGCUGACUAAGAUGUUCUUCCCAACACUCUUCACCGUCCUCACCGAUGAAGACGACUCCCGUGGCGCCGGCCUCCUGGAGCCGGCGAGCUUUGGCGGCGAAGGUGCAGUCGCCGCGCAGCGCCAGGGCGAUGUGGCCUCGGAGCUCAGCUGGGUUCUGGAUCGGAGCGCAGGCCGUGUAGGGACGCGCCUUGGCCAGGCUGCCCUUCACCUGGAACAUCAGGAGACACACUUGCUCAUUGGCCGGCACUUUCUGCAAUCAGCAGCAUGCGCUUCGAUAACAACACGGCAGAUGAAUGGAACACAAUAAAAUAGCAAGUGGACUUCACAUGGAGGCGAAGGGUUGAUCUACCAUGCAAAACCAAAAAAAAAAAAAAAAGUUAGCAUUGUAACUUUAGCAUGCGUGCAGUUAGCAUAUAUCAAGUACCAAGUUAUAUGACGCUAGGGCAAAGGGUGGCAAAAUUACCCACAAAAGUUAGCAUGCUACAGCAUGUAUUACGUACCAAGUUUUAACGACUGAGGUGUACGGCAGCAAAAUUUACUUAAAAAGUGUAAAAUUGGCUAAAAAAAAAGUUAGCAUCAUAACGUUAGCAUGCUACCAUUUUGACUUUGGCAUGCUAACAGUUAGCAUAUGUCAAGUACCAAGUUAUAUGACUCUGGGGCAAAGGGUGGCAAAAUUACCCAAAAAAGUUAGCAUGUAUCACGUAGCAAGUUAUAUGACUGAGGUGUACCGCUGUAAAAUUAGCAAACAAAAGAGUCAAAAUUUGCUUUCGGAGUUAGCAUUCUAACUUUAGCAUGCGUGCAGUUAGCAUAUAUCAAGUACCAAGUUAUAUGACUCUGGGGUAAAGGGUUGCAAAAUUACCCAAAAAAGUUAGCAUGUAUUACGUACCAAGUUUUAACGACUGAGGUGUACGGCAGCAAAACUAACUUAAAAAGUGUAAAUUUGGCCAAAAAAAAGUUAGCGUGAUAAUGUUAGCAUGCUACCAUUUCAACUUUGGCAUGCUAACAGUUAGCAUAUGUCAAGUAGCAAGUUAUAUGACUCUGGGGUAAAGGGUUGCAAAAUUACCCAAAAAAGUUAGCAUGUAUCACGUAGCAAGUUAUAUGACAGAGGUAUACAGCUGUAAAAUUAGCAAACAAAAGUGUCAAAUUUGCUUAAAAAGUUAGCAUUCUAACUUUAGCAUGCGUGCAGUUAGCAUAUAUCAAGUACCAAGUUAUAUGACUCUAGGGCAAAGGGUGGCAAAAUUACCCAAAAAAGUUAGCAUGCUACAUCAUGUAUUACGUACCAAGUUUUAACGACUGAGGUGACGGCAGCAAAAUUAACUUAAAAAGUGUAAAAUUGGCACAAAAAAAAAGUUAGCAUGAUAAUGUUAGCAUGCUACCAUUUUAACUUUGGCAUGCUAACAGUUAGCAUAUGUCAAGAACCAAGUUAUAUGACUCCGGGGUAAAGGGUUGCAAAAUUAGCAUAACAAAGUUAGCAUGCAAACAGUAUGUAUUACGUACCAAGUUUUAAUGGCAACGAAAUUAGCUUAAAAAGUGUAAAUGUAGCUAAAACAUGAAACAUGCGAAUUUUGGCAUGCUACCAUUCUAACAGGUAGCAUAUGUCAAGCACCAAGUUAUAAGACCCAGGGAUAAAAGGUAGCAAAAUUAGCUAAAAAAAAAAGUUAGCAUGUAUCACGUGCCAAGUUUUAAUGACUAUGAGGGUCACGGUAGCGAAACUAUCUUAAAAGGUGUAAAAAGUUAGCAUGCUACCAUCUUAAUGUUAGCAUAUGUCAAGUACCAAGUGAGGUAAAUGUUUGCAAAAUUAGCAAUGAAAAAAAGUUAGCAUGCUGACAGUUAACAUGUAUUAUGUAACAAGUUUUAAUGACUCUGAGGUGUGCGACGGCAAAAUUAGCCUCAAAAAGUUAGCAUAUGUCAAGUGUCAAGUUAUAUGACUAUGGGUAAAUGGUUUCAAAACGACCCCCCAAGAAGUUAGCAUGCUAACAGGAGCAUGGCAGCGAAAUUAGCCUAAAAAGUGUCAAAUGAGCUUAGAAAGUUAGCAUGCUACCAUUCUAAUGUUAACAUGCUAACAGUUAGCUAAAAGUUAGCAUGCAUCACGUACCAGGUUUUAUAGACUCUGAGGUGUAUGGCGGCAAAAUUUGCUUAAAAAGUGUAAAAUUCGCUUUAAAAGCUAUCAUGCUAAUGUUAGCAUGUUACCCAGUGGCGUGCCGUCACUAGAGGCAGGGGAGGCACGGCCUCACCUGCCAUCAUGGAAAGAAAAAAAAAGUAAAAAGAAAAAAAAUUAUUAAAUUGUUAUAUGUAUCCAGUGAUUAUACUAAAGUUAUUUUCCAUUUAACUUCACCAGUUUUAGAUUAUUUUUAUUUUUAUUUUCACAUUUGCCGUUCAAAAACUGAGAAGAGACGGUGCAGCAGCCAGUUGAGGCACGUCACUAUUUGUGCCUCAACAUGGAUUGUGCGCAAUGACUCGGCUAACUGCUGGCCUGCUGUGCAGUGAGACUGUAUUGCUAUAUGAAUUAUAUUAUAAAUUUCCAUAGUUUAGUUAGCUGAGGUGUAUAAUGUACAGUGUAUUUUGUCAACAACUGUAGGUGUGUAACGUAUUUCUUGUGCUGAGCGAUCAUAAAACUGGAGGCUCGUCUCAUAACCCCGCCUCCUGGUGCCAAGCACCUCCGCCGCAGAAUGCACCUCCGACGGGAGCGCCGCGGCCACACCAACCAAAGCCCACACCCAAACCCUCCACGUGCAAGACUGAAUCCACCCAAAAAAAGUCACUUAACAAGAAGCCAAAAAGUGUAAAAACAACAAUGCUCGCGCGGCGCGCCGGAGGAGCCGUGAACAGGGACACAACAUUAGGUACACCUGCAGACUGCAGCGCGGAUUUCAUAUUUCAUUCAUUCACAACUCUUCCAACAUGAACACCACUGCUCCCGCACUUAUAAGUAAAGGUCCAGCCCAAAGUUGGCGGGUGCAGCGGUGAGCACGGUCCUGCCCAGGAAAGGAGCCGAUAUCAGCUGCACGGCGUGAGGCAGCACCUCCCCCUCCUCCUCCUGCGGCGCCGUGGUGCUGACCUUGGCCACCAGCUGGACCCGGUCACCCAGCGGCGUGAGAGAGAUGCCAAUGGUCUUCAAGAACUCCAAAGGCUCCAUGCCGCCAUCGUGGAGCGGGAAGUCCGCCUCCCUGCGGCGCCAAAGCAGAGGCGUCAGUAAAAGGUAGAGAAGCAGAGGCGGCGCCAGUAGGACACACCUGGCAGGUGAGGGGUGCACAGCUCGUCCCACGCCCGUCAGGUACUUGUAGCUGUCGCGGAUGCUCUUGGCGAAGGUCGGGUUGUUGGGGAACAAGGACUCGGUGCUGGGACACGUGUGCGUGAAGGGCUCGUCUUCCUGGGCGCCGCCGGGACUCUCCUGGAACAAAAAGGUUGAUGACGCGCUGCAUUUCUACUGCCAAUGCUGCAGUUAGCGCCUCUCGGGCUGUGGCUGUAGGCGACGUCCUGAUUUUGUAACAUUGUAAAGAAAAAAAAAAUAGAAUAACUUUGUGUUUAAAAGAAAAAGGUUGUCGUUUUAAAGAGAAUAUUUGUGAGUAAGCCACGCCCACAAAUAGACGGCCAUGGUGUGUGCAAGACUGGACAGGUAAUAAUAUUUAAAUGUCACUUUGUUAAAAAUGACAGUUUGACCCUGUAACAGAUGAAUUAUAUUCCCAUUAAUUUCUUUGAGUUCUGGUUCUAAAAGCGUCCUAAAAAGUUGUCAUUGAAGACACAAAACUUAAACGUACAAUAUUAAGUUAGUUAAAGUUAAAGUAGCAAUCAAUGAUAGUCACACACACACACACUAGGUGUGGCGAAAUUAUUCUCUGCAUUUGACCCAUCACCCUUGACCACCCCCUGGGAGGUGAGGGGAGCAGUGAGCAGCAGCGGUGGCCGCGCCCGGGAAUCAUUUUUGGUGAUUUAACCCCCAAUUCCAACCUUUGAUGCUGAGUGCCAGGCAGGGAGGUAACGGGUCCCAUUUUUAUAUCACAAAAAAGAUAGAUCCCCAUCCAAAUCGCAAUUCUACAUUAAAACAUAAUGUUAAAAAAUCUAUUUGUUUCAUAAGAAUUCAUUUUUAAAACAAAGUUUUUAAUGCUAUUUCAUGCAACCAGAAUAAUUAUCAUACCGAAUACAUUGCGAGAAUAGGUUUGAAUGGAAUCGUGGCCCCAGGGUCCGUGUGCCUUCCUUCCGUUCAUUCUAUUUCCAAUUCUUAAACGCAAAUCAAAAAACAAAAAUGGGGCCGUUUUUCGAUUUUUAUUACAUAUGGCAGAUUUUAAAACGAACAAAAAAGGGUGGACUUUCAUAAAAGUUAAAUAAAUUAAAUUGAGCCCCAAAAAAGAAAUAAAAAUAAAAAUAUGAUGAUGUUGAACUCUGAGUGUAAACAUAACUUGGCCCUAAAGAAAUGAACUAUUAACUGCAAAUAGCAAGAAGAAGUUAUUAGGGAUAAGAAGUUAUGUGAUAAACAGGAGGGAAAUGUUAGAAUAAUUAUGUAUAUAUUAUCACACAACUCUUAUGCUUAAGGGCCGUUGCUAUAGUUAUUAUGAAUUGUGCUGAAAUUGUAUUUUUCUUUGUCUGUGCAAAGCUGGCAAUCUAAAAGAUUGCAAGCCAGUCUCGUAUCAGUGUUUGUUUCCAGAAUCGGCCUGCUGACUGCCAAGGCCGAACAUCGAGUACCGUGAUGCAGACAGAGCAGAGACGAGGCGAUAUCACGACUGUCAGAACAUUUGCAUUUUUGUAUAAUCAUAUAUUGUGUCUAACUGGAGCUGUCGAGAUUACCCCCUUCAGUGAUGUAACCAGGGACCUCCCAAAUAAAUAGAGGAAGCACGUGGGCUGAACUUUUAGAACGUAGUUUGGAUAUGUAACUAGAGUACAGCCCAAAAAACGUGUCUCCUCAAUUGA